UACGGAGGGUGCAAGCGUUAUCCGGAUUUACUGGGUUUAAAGGGUGCGUAGGUGGAUAAUUAAGUCAGUGGUGAAAUCUUCAGGCUUAACCUGGAAACUGUCAUUGAUACUAUUUAUCUUGAAUACUUUGGAGGUAAGCGGAAUAUGUCAUGUAGCGGUGAAAUGCUUAGAUAUGACAUAGAACACCAAUUGCGAAGGCAGCUUACUACACAGUAAUUGACACUGAGGCACGAAAGCGUGGGGAUCAAACAGG
rnacentral:rRNA from 1 species